AAGGUCGUAACAAGGUUUCCGUAGGUGAACCUGCGGAAGGAUCAUUAAUGUAACCGGAUCGGUUCGUGGCAGGUGAGAGCUUGUCGCGGGUCGCGAACGGGAAAUUAUCAUACACCCUGUGUUAAACUUUGACCUUUCGUUGCUUUGGCGGGCCCGUCCGCAAGGCGUCAGCUCCGGCUGACCGCGCCCGCCAGAGGACCCGAAACCUCUUUUGAUCAGUGAUGUCGAGUACUAUAUAAUAGGUUAAAAAU
rnacentral:misc_RNA from 1 species